CCAGACUCCUACGGGAGGCAGCAGUGGGGAAUCUUCCGCAAUGGGCGCAAGCCUGACGGAGCAACGCCGCGUGAGUGAAGAAGGUCUUCGGAUCGUAAAGCUCUGUUGACGGGGACGAACGUGCGGAGUGCGAAUAGCGCUUUGUAAUGACGGUACCUGUCGAGGAAGCCACGGCUAACUACGUGCCAGCAGCCGCGGUAAUACGUAGGUGGCGAGCGUUGUCCGGAAUCAUUGGGCGUAAAGGGAGCGCAGGCGGGCCGGUAAGUCUUACUUAAAAGUGCGGGGCUCAACCCCGUGAUGGGAGAGAAACUAUCGGUCUUGAGUACAGGAGAGGAAAGCGGAAUUCCCAGUGUAGCGGUGAAAUGCGUAGAUAUUGGGAAGAACACCAGUGGCGAAGGCGGCUUUCUGGACUGCAACUGACGCUGAGGCUCGAAAGCCAGGGGAGCGAACGGGAUUAGAUACCCCGGUAGUCCUGGCCGUAAACGAUGGAUACUAGGUGUGGGAGGUAUCGACCCCUACCGUGCCGGAGUUAACGCAAUAAGUAUCCCGCCUGGGGAGUACGGCCGCAAGGCUGAAACUCAAAGGAAUUGACGGGGGCCCGCACAAG
rnacentral:rRNA from 1 species